GCUGGUAUAGUGUAAUGGUUAGCACAUGAGGUUCUGAUCCUCGUAAUCUAGGUUCGAUUCCUAGUACUAGCU
rnacentral:tRNA from 5 species